UACGAAGGGGGCUAGCGUUGUUCGGAAUCACUGGGCGUAAAGCGCGUGUAGGCGGUCCGGUAAGUCCGCUGUGAAAGUCGGGGGCUCAACCCUCGGAUGCCGGUGGAUACUGUCGGGCUUGAGUACGGAAGAGGCGAGUGGAAUUCCUGGUGUAGCGGUGAAAUGCGCAGAUAUCGAGAGGAACACCUGCGGCGAAGGCGGGUUGCUGGGCUGAUACUGACGCUGAGGCGCGAAAGCCAGGGGAGCGAACGGG
rnacentral:rRNA from 1 species